rnacentral:rRNA from 1 species
AUUGAACGCUGGCGGCAUGCCUUACACAUGCAAGUCGAACGGCAGCACGGGAGCUUGCUCCUGGUGGCGAGUGGCGAACGGGUGAGUAAUGCAUCGGAACGUACCCAGUAGUGGGGGAUAGCCCGGCGAAAGCCGGAUUAAUACCGCAUAUUUCCUGAGGGAGAAAGCGGGGGACCUUCGGGCCUCGCGCUACUGGAGCGGCUGAUGUCGGAUUAGCUAGUUGGUGAGGUAAAGGCUCACCAAGGCGACGAUCCGUAGCUGGUCUGAGAGGAUGAUCAGCCACACUGGGACUGAGACACGGCCCAGACUCCUACGGGAGGCAGCAGUGGGGAAUUUUGGACAAUGGGGGCAACCCUGAUCCAGCCAUGCCGCGUGAGUGAAGAAGGCCUCGGUUGUAAGUACGUCUUUCUAGGUGGAAGGAAAGUACACUACCCCGAACU